GACAGAGGUGCCGAGCGUUAGGCGGAAUCACUGGGCUUAAAGCGUGUGUAGGCGGGUCGUUAAGUGUCUUGUGAAAUCCCACCGCUCACCGGUGGAACGGCUGGGCAUACUGGCGACCUUGAGAGGCCUAGGGGCAGACGGAACAAGCGGUGGAGCGGUGAAAUGCGUAGAUAUCGCUGGAACGCCGAAGGUGAAAACAGGCUGCUGGGGUGCGCCGACGCUGAGACACGAAAGCCAGGGGAGGCAAACGGG
rnacentral:rRNA from 1 species